rnacentral:lncRNA from 1 species
CACAAUAUUGAAUAAAUAAACCAAUAUGAUAAACUAAGAAAUCAAAAUCAAUAUCUGAAAAAAAAUAGUCAUGAAAGAACCACAACCCUAGAACGUGAAGUUUUAGCUCCACAAAGACAUGGUAGCCAAACAACAAAUCAUACAAAUAAACAUAAAAAAAUACUAAGUUUGAUGGAAGAAAAGAUGAAACCCGGCCUCCACGGUGGCUCUAUGCUCUCCCUAGGUCGAAUUCCCUUCAAAAAGUAUGUUAGAUCACCUAAAAGAGGCGUUUUUGGCUUAUAUAGUGCGUACAAAAGUCGUGGGCUAAAGUUCUCCUAUUCCUAGUCCGACUCAGCUUCAGGGAUUGAUGUUGGGUCCUCCGCUUCUCAGCUUCGCAUGCACCUACCCUUUGUUCCUCCAUCUCAGCCUUGCCCAGGUGCGGAUGCUAUGGAGAUGCUAUGGGCCGACUUCACUGCUAAGGGGUGCAUCAAGUAACCUUUUCUCCUCUAGUUGGAGCAUCUUUUCUUCAUAUUUUUGCACUCCAAACACCCUAAAUCAUCACACACAACUCAAUUAGUCAUAAAACCAAUAAUUAAACCAUGUUGGGCAUUUUUAACACCAAAUAGCAACAAAAAGCGGUUAAAACAUAGGUAAAGUAACAUCAAAACAUAUAAAAAUAUACCCAACAUCAGUGACACUUAGCCAAACAGUAAAAACCGUUUUCUAUGGUUGCUAUGUUUUCACUCUACACGACCUUUUCACCAGAAGCUCUAAAAGUGUGCUUUGACUGUGCAAAUUUUCUGCUUUGUUCCAACGAAUUUCAACUUUCGUUUGUCCAAACUUAAAGAAACAGAUAGGAUAUAUAUUUCUUUAAAAUAGAAAACUUGGUGUUUCAAAAAGGUAAAAAGAGGGAGGGAGGAAAGGAUAAAAGAAGCAACGCAAGUGAAAGGGAAAUUACUAAAUUUUGAGGCAACAACAAAUGAUUCAGCUUCCACAAUUUAAAGCCAAUGAAGCUUUUAGAUAAUUCAAUUUUCGUCCUAUUUCUUUUAGCACAUGGUUUUGUUUCUCUUUAAAUUCCAACCUUAUAUAACUUAGUGUCUAAAGUUGCACCAUUCAUAAUUCCAC